AAGACCUUGCGCUUUUGGAGCGGCCGAUGUCUGAUUAGCUUGUUGGUAAGGUAAAAGCUUACCAAGGCUUCGAUCAGUAGCUGGUCUGAGAGGACGACCAGCCACACUGGGACUGAGACACGGCCCAGACUCCUACGGGAGGCAGCAGUGGGGAAUUUUGGACAAUGGGGGCAACCCUGGUCCAGCCAUGCCGCGUGAGUGAAGAAGGCCUUCGGGUUGUAAAGCUCUUUCAGCCGGAACGAAACGGUUACGGUUAAUACCCGUGACUACUGACGGUACCGGAAGAAGAAGCACCGGCUAACUACGUGCCAGCAGCCGCGGUAAUACGUAGGGUGCAAGCGUUAAUCGGAAUUACUGGGCGUAAAGCGUGCGCAGGUGGUUUUGUAAGUCAGAUGUGAAAUCCCCGGGCUUAACCUGGGAACU
rnacentral:rRNA from 1 species